rnacentral:rRNA from 1 species
UACGUAGGGGGCAAGCGUUGUCCGGAUUUAUUGGGCGUAAAGAGCGUGUAGGCGGCCAUGUAGGUCCGUUGUGAAAACUCGAGGCUCAACCUCGAGACGCCGAUGGAAACCAUGUGGCUAGAGUCCGGAAGAGGAGAGUGGAACCCCUGGUGUAGCGGUGAAAUGCGCAGAUAUCAGGAAGAACACCAAUGGCGAAGGCAGCUCGCUGGGACGGUACUGACGCUGAGACGCGAAAGCGUGGGGAGCAAACAGG